rnacentral:rRNA from 1 species
AGAACGAACGCUGGCAGCGUGGAUAAGACAUGCAAGUCGAGCGCUGGUUACAGGGUAGCAAUAUUCUGUAAUCGGAGCGGCGCAAGGGUGCGUAACACGUGGGUAAUCUGCCAUGAAGUUUGGGAUAACUUGCUGAAAGGCGAGCUAAUACCGGAUGUGAAAACUGGGAGGCAUCUCCUGAUCGUUAAAGCUGGGGACCGUAAGGCCUGGCGCUUUUUGAUGAACCCGCGGCCUAUCAGCUAGUUGGUGAGGUAACGGCCCACCAAGGCUAAGACGGGUAGCUGGUCUGAGAGGACGACCAGCCACACUGGAACUGAGACACGGUCCAGACACCUACGGGUGGCAGCAGUCGAGAAUUUUUCACAAUGGGCGCAAGCCUGAUGGAGCGACGCCGCGUGGGGGAUGAACGGCUUCGGCCCGUAAACCCCUGUCAUUCGCGAUCAAACGCUGUAAUUUAAAAGAUGACAGCCUGAUAGUAGCGGAAGAGGAAGGGACGGCUAACUCUGUGCCAGCAGCCGCGGUAAUACAGAGGUCCCGAGCGUUGUUCGGAUUCACUGGGCGUAAAGGGUGCGUAGGUGGCGAGGUAAGUCGGAUGUGAAAGCUCGGAGCUCAACUCCGAAAUGGCAUUGGAAACUACCUUGCUUGAGGGUUGGAGGGGGGACUGGAAUUCUCGGUGUAGCAGUGAAAUGCGUAGAUAUCGAGAGGAACACCAGUGGCGAAGGCGAGUCCCUGGACAACACCUGACACUGAGGCACGAAAGCUAGGGGAGCAAACAGGAUUAGAUACCCUGGUAGUCCUAGCCGUAAACGGUGCAUGCUUGCUGUAAAAGGAAUCGACCCCUUUUGUGGCGGAGCCAACGCGUUAAGCAUGCCGCCUGGGAAGUACGGUCGCAAGAUUAAA